CCUACGGGCGGCAGCAGUAGGGAAUUUUGCGCAAUGGGCGAAAGCCUGACGCAGCAACGCCGCGUGAUCGAGACGCCCUUCGGGGUGUAAAGCUCUGUCAGUGGGGACGAAACUUGACGGUACCCACAGAGCAAGCACCGGCUAACUCCGUGCCAGCAGCCGCGGUAAUACGGGGGGUGCAAGCGUUGUCCGGAAUCAUUGGGCGUAAAGAGUUCGUAGGCGGCACGUCAAGUCAAGUGUGAAAGGCAGAGGCUCAACGUAGGUACGGCACUGGAUACUGGCGAGCUAGAGUGCGGGAGAGGAAAGGGGAAUUCCAGGUGUAGCGGUGAAAUGCUUAGAUAUCAGGAGGAACAUCAGUGGCGAAGGCGCUUUACUGGGCCGUAACUGACGCUGAGGAACGAAAGCCAGGGUAGCAAAUGGGAUUAGAUACCCUAGUAGUC
rnacentral:rRNA from 1 species